rnacentral:lncRNA from 12 species
AUCUUUCUUUUAUCAUAAGACGGCUGGCCUAGAAUGAAUGCCGGGUCAGAGCGGCAGGGUGAGUGUUGGGGCAGCAGUGACCAGAGAGAGACGGUCCCCGCCUUGGCUGGCCUCUCUCUCUUCACAAAGCGUGAAACCACUGUGCUAACGUGAUGGUUCAGAAAGGCAUGUUUUUGAACAGAAUAUCCAGCUCCCGAGGUCUCAGGGUCCAUACGAAUGCUUCUCAACCAAAGCAUGAAGGCUCGUGAUCGUGCUUGAAUGACACGCUCCCGUCCCUCUCAG